CAGGUGGCAUGGAAGGCAGGCAUGAGGGCUGGAACUGUUGCAGUUUUUUCACUCCCUUAGGAGACACGUGUCAACACAUGGCACAGUGCUGAUGCUGAAGAGCUAGGACACAACAGCAAACAAAAAAGGUUUGCUAAAAACCAUGACUGAUGACCCGGCAUAUUGAGAACACUCAGAAUUAGAGGGAUCCACGUAGAAAAGAACCAGCAGCCUCCUCGGUCAUACCUGCCUGGCCCCCAGCUACCUUGGGGGAUUUCUGAGAUGGAAAGAUGAAGAAUGUGGCAUGCUGAAGAAAAUAACAUCACCUGAAUAUGGACUCCUCCUUCAGCUUUAAUUCCAGAAUGAAGAUAUGUGGAAUAGAACUACAAGUGGCCUACAGCCAUCAUGUAACAAGAAAGAUAAAAAUCCUGAUUGUGGCAAGCUUCUGAGAACUAGGGGUUGUUUGUUACUGGAGAAUAACAAAAAAAAAAAAGCUGACUGAUACAAAAAUAAAACAAACACAACAGGUAGAGGAUGUGGUUCUACUCCCUGGAACCCAUAUGUGAAUGAUCUAGCUACAUCUCAACUUGUACUGAGGAAACAGAGAAAGGGGACCCCGGGGGAGAGGAAUGAAGAAGUAAGUUAUGGUAAAAAAUCCCAGGGAAGUGUGUUCUAGAAGAAGGGUUAUGUUCUGUGUCCACUUAAGACAUUUAUGAACUUCCAGGUGUUCUUUCCUUUCCUCUCCAUUGGUACUGCAAGGAAUAUCUUAAUCUGAGACUACCAGUUUGAAAAGGAUCAACCAUAUUUGUCUUCAGGAAGCCAAAAAUUUCUAUAUUCACUUCAGAAGGUGCCCUGAAUACCUUCCACAAAUACUAUAUUCCCCUAGUCCUAUAACUCUUCUACUCCCCUAGACAAUGGCUUCAUACUCAUUCCUCACUCUUCAAACCUCUAAACACAUUUGUCAUCCUCACUCUGGGCUGAUGAGUUUGCUUCCGAGUUGACUGAGAAAAUGACUAUACUCAAGAAAACGUCACUCAGCUUCCACCAUGUCAUCAGUCCUCCUCCCUCCAUUUGUGCCCAUCUACUCAACCUUCUCUCCUUGCCAUGCUCAGAGUCAAGACCAUCCUCUCCACCUGCCACUAGUUCCCAGAAAACUCACCUACUAAAAGACAUUGCUCCAGAAAUUGUCUCUUUUCUUUCUAAAUAGAUGACUCUCUUCAAUGUUCAAAUGUGUCAUUGUCUUGUAUGUUUUGUAAAAACUCUCUUUACUACAGUUCCCCUCCAGCUAUUUACCUUUAUCUCAUUUCCUUCAGAGCAAAAUCCUUUGAAAGAGUGUCCAUACUCUCUUCUCCAAUUUCUCUCCUCCCAUUCUUACUCAAAAUUACUACAAUCAGCCUCUCACCUGGACCUCUCUGGAAUCACCCCUCUUAUCAGUGUCCUAAAGACCUCUUCUUUGCUAAGCUGGUGGCCAUUUCUCUGUCUUCAUCUCACUCAAUCAAUCAUCAGCAUUGGACACAAUCACCGUCUCCUCUCUGAAAUACUUUUCCACGCCCACUGAACUUCCAAGACUCCUUGCUUCUUUGGUUUUAUCCUACUUCUCUGGUCAUUCCUCUUUGUUUAUUCUUGAUGUUUGUCCCCAUUUUUGCAUUGGAGUUUCCAGGCUCAAUCCUUGGGCCCUGUCUCUUUUCUAUCUAUGCUUAUUCUAUUGAGAAGCUGAUCCAACCUCAUGGCUUGAAUGCAUUUACACUUCCAGCCUGCCCCUCUCUCCUGAAAUCUACCCAUGUAUCCAUAAUACAUGAUACAUGCAUGGAUUAGAUAUUUAAUAAGCACCUAACAGGUGACACAUCUAAAACUAAACUUCAGGAGCACCUGGGUGGCUCAGUCAGUUCAGUACCUGCCUUUGGCUCAGGUCAUGAUCCUAGGGUUCUGGGAUCAAGCCCCACACUGGGCUCCAUGCUCAGUGGGGAGCCUGCUUCUCCCUCUCCCCCUGACUUAUGCUGGCUCUCUCUCUCAAAUAAGUAAAUAGAAUCUUGUAAAAAAUAAAAAUAAAAAUGAAUUUCAUAGUUUGGCUAUUGUGGACAUUGCUGCUAUAAACCAUUUGGGUGUACGUGCCCCUUCGGAUCACUACAUUUGUAUCUUUAGGGUAAAUCCCCAGUAAUGCUCUAUUUUCAACUUUUUGAGGAACUCCAUACUGUUUUCCAGAGUAGUUGCACCAGCUUGCACUCCCACCAACAGUGUAGGAGGGUUCCCUUUCUCUGCAUCCUUGCCAAUAUCUAUCGUUUCCUGACUUGUUAAUUUUAGCCAUUCUGACAGUUGUGAGGUGGUAUCUCAUUGUGGUUUUGAUUUUGUAUUUCCCUGAUGCUGAGUGACGUGGAGCACUUUUUCAUGUGUCUGUUGGCCAUCUGGAUGUCUUCUUUGCAGAAACGUCUGUUCACGUCUUCUGUCCAUUUCUUGAUUGGAUUAUUUGUUCCUUGGGUGUUGAGUUUGAUAAGUUCUUUAUAGAUUUUGGAUACUAGCCCUUUAUCUGAUAUGUCAUUUGUAAACAAUGGAAGGAGCCUAGAUGUCCAUCAACAGAUGAAUGGAUAAAGAAGAUGUAGUAUAUAUACAGUGGAAUACUAUGCAGCCAUCAAAAGAAACAAAAUCUUGCCAUUUACAACAACAUGGAUAGAACUCGAGGGUAUUAUGCUGAGCAAAAGAAGUCAAGCAGAGAAAGACAAUUAUCAUAUGAUCUCUCUGAUAGGAGGAAUUUGAGAGGCAGGGUGGGAGGCCUUGGAGGGUAAGGAGGGAAAAAAUGAAACAAGAUGGGAUCAGGAGGGAGACAAACCAUAAGGGACUCUCAGUCUCAAGAAACAAACUGAGAUUUGCUGGGGGAAGGGGGGUAGGGAAAGGGUGGUUGGGUUAGGCACA